GACGAACGCUGGCGGCGUGCUUAACACAUGCAAGUCGAACGGGCUGCCUGGUUUUCGGAUCGGGUGGUGAGUGGCGAACGGGUGAGUAACACGUGAGUAACCUGCCCCUCUCUUUGGGAUAACGUCGGGAAAUCGGCGCUAAUACCGGGUAUUCUGGCUUCCUCGCAUGGGGUUGUUGGGAAAGGUUUUUUCUGGUGGGGGAUGGGCUCGCGGCCUAUCCGCUUGUUGGUGGGGUGAUGGCCUACCAAGGCGGUGACGGGUAGCCGGCCUGGGAGGGUGUCCGGCCACACUGGGACUGAGACACGGCGCAGACUCCUACGGGAGGCAGCAGUGGGGAAUAUUGCACAAUGGGCGGAAGCCUGAUGCAGCGACGCCGCGUGGGGGAUGACGGCCUUCGGGUUGUAAACCUCUUUCAGUGCAGAACAAGGCUCUUUGUGGGUUGAGGGUAUGCGCAGAAGAAGCGCCGGCUAACUACGUG
rnacentral:rRNA from 1 species